GUGCUCCCUUCAGCAGCACAUAUACUAAAAUUGGAAUGAUACAGAGAAGAUUAGCAUGGCACAAGCAUGCACAAGAAUGGCACGCAUAUUCGUGAGGUGUUCCAUAUUAAA
ensembl:snRNA U6 U6 spliceosomal RNA